GAUGAAGAACGCAGCUAAAUGCGAUAAGUAAUGUGAAUUGCAGAAUUCAGUGAAUCAUCGAAUCUUUGAACGCACAUUGCGCCCGCCAGUAUUCUGGCGGGCAUGCCUGUUCGAGCGUCAUUUCAACCAUCAAGCCCCCGGCUUGUGUUGGGGACCUGCGGCUGCCGCAGGCCCUGAAAAGCAGUGGCGGGCUCGCUGUCACACCGAGCGUAGUAGCAUACAUCUCGCUCUGGGCGUGCUGCGGGUUCCGGCCGUUAAACCACCUUCAUAACCCAAGGUUGACCUCGGAUCAGGUAGGAAGACCCGCUGAACUUAAGCAUAUCAAUAAGCGGAGGA
rnacentral:misc_RNA from 1 species